rnacentral:lncRNA from 1 species
CUAUUGCAAUUUUCUUUUUUCCUUUAGUUUUCUUUUGUAAAAUGCUAGUUAGGAGCAGGUGUGAGAUCUAAUGUACAAUUUAUGGGUUCAUUCGAAUAACUUUAGCGCGCUAUUAUAAAUGCGAAUUUUAUCAAGCAAGAACAAAUUAACAUUAAUCUAGAACGUAGGAAGUCAAUUGUAUUAUAUUAUAGUAAAAUUUCAAACCUAAAUUUAUAAUGUUUAAAUUUUGGAUCAGCCUCUAACUGCACAUUACUCAAAUACUGUGAUACCACAAAGACACUUCAACUGUCACUUUACCAUUAUGUCCUAUCGUUAUCUAAGUCUGUACCGAGUUUAUAGGUUCAUUUGAAUAACUUUAGCGCAACAUUAUAAAUGCAUUACAAAUUUUCAUCAAACAAGUACAAAUUAACUCAGAUCUCGAAUAAGUUAAUUAUAUUAUUGUGGUAGAAAUUCGAACCGAAACUGAUAAUAUUUAAAUUUUAAAUCACCCUCAAACUGCACAUCAAUCAAAUACUGUAAUUCCACAAUGACACUUCAACGUCACUCUUACAUUAUGUCCUACCUUUAGCUAAGUCUGCAUCGAAUUUAUGAGUUCUUUAGCGCGAUAUUAUAUAUGCAUUAAAGUUUUUAUCAAACAAGUACAAAUUAACAUAGAUCUCGAACGUAGUAUGUCAAUUAUAUAUAUAUAUA